GGGGAUGUAAAGGUUUCGACGGGGGUGUGGAAGCCGGAUAAGCGGGUCGUAGUCGCCAAGUCUACGUUAAAAGUGGCCGUUUAAAUAUAAACGCUAAAAAGAAUAAUAAUUUCGCACCUGUAGCUAUGGCUGCGUAAGUCAGUCAUAAGCUGUGCGUGUCGUCUCCGGCUCACCUGCAGGCCGGAUGUACGGCAUCGAUCAUGCAGGAAAACUUCAUGUGAAAGCCCGGCAGCAUGAGGGAACAACGGGAUAGCCGAGGGCAAAGCCUGCUUUUGGGCGCUGUCUGAAGCGAAAUUUUAAAACAAAAGCUGCACCCGGAGAAAUUCCAGUGAAAAUGCUUUCGGACAUGGGUUCGACUCCCAUCAUCUCCACCA
rnacentral:tmRNA from 2 species